GAUGAAGAACGUAGCAAAUGCGAUAAGUAAUGUGAAUUGCAGAAUUCAGUGAAUCAUCGAAUCUUUGAACGCACCUUGCGCUCCUUGGUAUUCCGAGGAGCAUGCCUGUUUGAGUGUCAUGAAAUUCUCAACCUUUUCAGCUUUCUUUGUUGAUCAGGCUUGGAUGUGGGAGUAUGCGGGCUUCUCAGAAGUCGGCUCUCCUGAAAUGCAUUAGCGGGACCUUUGUUGCCUGGCUUUGGUGUGAUAAUUAUCUACGCCAUUGUAGUCAAGCAGCUUAAAAUGAGGUUUCAGCUUCUAACCGUCUCCCCUGAGACAACUUUUUGACAAUUUGACCUCAAAUCAGGUAGGACUACCCGCUGAACUUAAGCAUAUCAAUAAGCGGAGGA
rnacentral:misc_RNA from 1 species